rnacentral:rRNA from 1 species
UACGUAGGGGGGCGAGCGUUGUCCGGAUUUAUUGGGCGUAAAGAGCGUGUAGGCGGCCAGGUAGGUCUGCUGUGAAAACUCGAGGCUCAACCUCGAGACGUCGGCGAAAACCAUCUGGCUAGAGUCCGGAAGAGGAGAGUGGAAUUCCUGGUGUAGCGGUGAAAUGCGCAGAUAUCAGGAAGAACACCCGUGGCGAAGGCGGCUCUCUGGGACGGUACUGACGCUGAGACGCGAAAGCGUGGGGAGCAAACAGG